GGUUGUAUUUUAUUUUAUAGACAGCACUAUCAGGACAGUUGUAUUUCUCAAGAUUCAUUGCAGGAAGGAAAAACCUUGACUAAGCGUGACGGCGAGAAAACGAUGGAUGCUUCGCAAUCGAAUGGAAAAAGCAGCAACAGGGGAAGACUGCGGGACUUCUAUGAAGAAUGUGUUGAAAUGAGCACUGGUUUGGAAUCAGGCCUAGACCAACAGAGGUGGUUCAAAGUAAACAAGUCUGAGAGGAACAAAAUCAAAGAGCGACUCACUACAGGACUCACUGUCAAUAGCUCGGCAUCAGAAGUGGAACUUAGUGAGGAAAGUGACAGCAGUUUUACAGAAGCAAGGAAACCUAAAAUGAAUAACAACCAAGGUACAGAGGAUGCCUUACAAGACUUACAAAAACAGAUGGAUGCCAUGACAGAAGUGCUGAGCAAUUCUGAUGAAGUGGAGCAACUAAUACUGAGAAACACAGGUCUGACUGAUGAACUGCUCAAGAGUUUGGCAAUGGCGCUCAAGAGAAGCCCAUCCGAAGUCACAGUGAUUAACCUUAAUCUGAACCAAAUCGGACCUCCUGGAGUCAAUGUUUUACUAGACCUUCUUCAAGCCAAACCACAGAUCAAAGAACUACUAUUGUUUGGAAACCAACUUGGCGAUCCUUGGAGUACAGACCCUGCUUAGUGGAUUGGCUGAACUUCAAGAUAAAACAGCAGCGCUGCGUGGAAACUCUGAACCGAUCCACUUCUCUCCAGUUAGCAUUGUGAUCAAAGAGUUAGACCUAGGUGGAAACGGCAUUGGCAGCGAGGGCCUGAGGGUGCUGGCCACUUUCAUGAGGUAUCAUUCCCAUCUUCAGUAUCUGGGCCUGGCACAGACAUCAUGUUCUGACAUGGAUGCUUGGAUAGUCUUGUUUGAAAGCCUGAAAGUGAACACUACGCUGACACACAUCAUCUUAGAUGAAAGCAACCUUGGGGACAAUGGUAUCAAGCUGUUUGCUGAGGCACUGAGAUCAAAUAAGACCCUGAGGAAGGCAGACUUGGAUAAUAACAGUUUCGGCGAGGUUGGAGGACAUUAUCUCCUGGAGGCUCUACGCUCUGGGGGAAAACGUUCCCUUGAGAACCUCAGCCUGGAGGGGAACUACAUCAGCACCGCACUGAUGGCCAACAUACAGCAGGAGCUCGAAUCUAACAGACCAGCUCUGUAAACAGAUGUAUCAUCAAUUAACUUGUGCUUUACAACUCAAACUUCUGGCGGGAUGUACAGUAAAUAAGCCUGAUGUCUUCAGUGCAGGACAGAGGGAAAAACUUUGUGGCCAGCACAUGGGUGGCUUCCAGUAACUCUAAAUGAAUUGCUUUAUUCUGUGAUCCAUCUAUUUGGGAGUUUAAACAGUGGAGGCAAAACUUUAGAGAAAUAUUUGCUUGGGCUCUUGAACCGGUCUUUACGCCACAAACCAACAGAUGCUCCCACUCAUGUCUUUGAAGCUUGUGAAUUGUCCAUGCAUCUGGAAGGUGAGAUGUUCAUUUUGGUUUGGGGAAAUUUGAGAAAGACCUUUUUUUGGAUGAUAUGUAGAAGGAGUUACACCGCACUCACGAUCACCAAGGUGCCAGACAAACAAGACUGGAAAUCUCAAAAAAUAAACUGUCUGCACACUUGAAUCCUUGUCA
ensembl:lncRNA